ensembl:rRNA 5S_rRNA 5S ribosomal RNA
GUCAUACAUUUCCCAGAAUGAACCAGAUUUCAUCAGAACUUGGAAGCUAAAUAGGGUUGAGCCUGGAUAGUGCUGAGGUGAUUGACCACCACGUAUACCGGAUUGUCA